UACGUAGGGGGCAAGCGUUGUCCGGAAUCAUUGGGCGUAAAGAGCGUGUAGGCGGUCCGGUAAGUCCGCUGUGAAAGUCGGGGGGCUCAACCCUCGAAUGCCGGUGGAUACUGUCGGGCUAGAGUACGGAAGAGGCGAGUGGAAUUCCUGGUGUAGCGGUGAAAUGCGCAGAUAUCAGGAGGAACACCUAUUGCGAAGGCAGCUCGCUGGGACGUAACUGACGCUGAGACGCGAAAGCGUGGGGAGCAAACAGG
rnacentral:rRNA from 1 species